AUCUAGUGGUAGGAUGCAGCACUCUGGAUGCUGUCACCUAGGUUCGAAUCCUAG
rnacentral:tRNA from 1 species